rnacentral:snRNA from 1 species
GGAUGUGAGGGUGAUCUGGCUGCGACAUGUCACCCCACUGAUUGCCAGGGUUAAUUCAGCUGAUCUGGCUGGCUAGGCGGGGGUCCCCUUUCUCCCUCAACGGUACAUGUGCAUCCCUCCCGAAGCUGCGUGCUUGGUCAAAGAGGACGACCACCCCCAUAGAGGAGGACUGGUCCUCAGUCAAGGGUAUACGAGCAGCUGUGCUCCCCUGCCAGAACCUCCAAACAAGCUCUAAUAUCCAACACUCUGAGGACAAGUGUGUGUAGGCUGCUGGCUGCACAAGGACACCUUAUAAUAAAAUGAAUGGAGACAGGAUAUGACAUGUCUU